rnacentral:rRNA from 1 species
CCUACGGGUGGCAGCAGUGAGGAAUAUUGGUCAAUGGACGCAAGUCUGAACCAGCCAUGCCGCGUGCAGGAAGACGGUUCUAAGAGUUGUAAACUUCUUUUGUACGAGGGUAAACGCAGACACGCGUAUCUGUCUGAGAGUACCGGACGAAUAAGCAUCGGCUAACUCCGUGCCAGCAGCCGCGGUAAUACGGAGGAUUCAAGCGUUAUCCGGAUUUAUUGGGUUUAAAGGGUGCGUAGGCGGUCGGAUAAGUUAGAGGUGAAAUCCCGAGGCUCAACUCCGGAAUUGCCUCUGAUACUGGUCGGCUAGAGAGUAGUUGCGGUAGGCGGAAUGUAUGGUGUAGCGGUGAAAUGCUUAGAUAUCAUACAGAACACCGAUUGCGAAGGCAGCUUACC